rnacentral:rRNA from 1 species
ACGAACGCUGGCGGCGUGCUUAACACAUGCAAGUCGAACGAGAGGAGAAGGAAGCUUGCUUCUUUCGAAUCUAGUGGCAAACGGGUGAGUAACACGUAAACAACCUGCCUUCAGGAUGGGGACAACAGACGGAAACGACUGCUAAUACCGAAUACGUUCCUUAGGUCGCAUGACUUUAGGAGAAAGGGUGGCCUCUACUUGUAAGCUAUCGCCUGAAGAGGGGUUUGCGUCUGAUUAGGUAGUUGGUGAGGUAACGGCCCACCAAGCCGACGAUCAGUAGCCGGUCUGAGAGGAUGAACGGCCACAUUGGGACUGAGACACGGCCCAGACUCCUACGGGAGGCAGCAGUAGGGAAUCUUCCACAAUGGACGCAAGUCUGAUGGAGCAACGCCGCGUGUAUGAAGAAGGUCUUCGGAUCGUAAAAUACUGUUGUCAGAGAAGAACACGGGAUAAAGUAACUGUUGUCCCGCUGACGGUAUCUGACCAGCAAGUCACGGCUAACUACGUG